rnacentral:rRNA from 1 species
UCGGGAAUUUUGGGCAAUGGGCGAAAGCCUGACCCAGCAACGCCGCGUGAAGGAUGAAGUAUUUCGGUAUGUAAACUUCGAAAGAAUAGGAAGAAUAAAUGACGGUACUAUUUAUAAGGUCCGGCUAACUACGUGCCAGCAGCCGCGGUAAUACGUAGGGACCAAGCGUUGUUCGGAUUUACUGGGCGUAAAGGGCGCGUAGGCGGCAAUUCAAGUCAUCUGUGAAAUCUCCGGGCUUAACUCGGAACGGUCAGAUGAUACUGCUUUGCUAGAGUGCAGAAGGGGCAAUCGGAAUUCUUGGUGUAGCGGUGAAAUGCGUAGAUAUCAAGAGGAACACCUGAGGUGAAGACGGGUUGCUGGGCUGACACUGACGCUCAUGUACGAAAGCGUGGGGAGCAAACAGGAUUAGAUACCCUGGUAGUCCCUGAGCGGGCUGGCAAGGCGCAU